UUUCUUUAAAGGCUGAUUCCACAUUUAUUUAAAUCUGAAAGUCUACAGAGACAAACACAAGAAGUCAAAGGUCAGACCUGAACCAGAACACCAGGCUGGUGUUCCAACCCACCAGGACCCAGAACCUGCAGAAUAAACCGGGACCAGAACCGGCUCCCGACCCAUUCCUCUGACGGCCUCGGGUCCGCUCAGGCGGCUCGUCUUCAGGUGAAGCGACAGGAAAAGCACGAUCACACAAAGUCUGAAGAAAACAUCCGAGGGAAAAUAAUCGGUUUGUUUCCAAGAGAGCAGCUGAACGCUGGUCUGAACCGGGUCCAACCGGGUCCGGAUGGGAGACACCAGAACCGGGCCUUGAACUGCAGAACUUCAGGUUAAAACCCAAAGUCCAGCUGAUUUUAGCUCCACUUUAAAACGAAGCGAGCAGAAAAAGAACCGAUCAAACAUUAUUCCUGAUGGUUCCUGGAACUGUUCUCAUCUUAAACCUUCAGAAAGAAUCACUUCAUAAAGAGUCAGCAGAUCAAUAAUUAAUAAUCCGCUGGGCUUUCAGAACCGUCUGAUCAUUUUUUAUGUAUUUUAAAACAAAAAGUCACGUGACAGAAACUGCACCUCAUUUUUCCAUAACUGAAUAUUUACAAGACUGUAACAGUUAAAUAAAGAGAUGUUUAAACCAUAACAGCUGCAGACGUCUGAACGUUUUAGUUUUCAUCCUGCUGGUCUCAGAGCUUCAUCCUACUACUUUUCUCCAAGGAUCCAGAACCAGAACCAGCAGCCAUCCUGACCGGCUGCCUUACAAUCACACUGAAAUCCCAGCGAGCUGCAGAGUUCGUCUCUGUCCACCAGAUGUCACUGUUUACCUCCCAGACUGAAAAGUUUCAGGCUGGAAAUAUUAAGACAUGGAUCAAAAACCGUUGAUAUUUUAGGCUUCUGGACCUUUCUGGUCCCAAAUGUAGUUUCUAGUUGAAACAUGAAUUUCCUGGUUUUAGGAAACUUUCAGCCUUUCUAAUGAAACCCAACAGGAUCUGAUCAGGGAAGCUUUUCAAACCGUUUUGUUCACAUCAUGCAAUUAAUUACCUCCUUUUUUCUAAAGGAGCCUGACUGAAGCUUUUGAGUUUUUGGUCGUCAGGGAGACCUGACAGACCGGUGGACCGAUGGCCUGACGGACCGGUGGACCGAUGGCCUGACGGACCGGUGGACCGAUGGCCUGACGGACCGGUGGACCGACAGUCUCACAGCAGCUGCUACUAAAACGAGGCAGAACAGGAACAGAAAGUAAAGGAGCAGAUCAGGUUCAGUAAGCAAGCAGGUCACAUCUGGAGUUUUUUCUUCAUCAGGUGAAGCGUUCCAGGAAGU